rnacentral:misc_RNA from 1 species
AGUUCUGUGUGAAAAAGAAAGAUCACGUUGAAGUGGUUUCCAUGAUUGGUCUUUUCGGCUUGCUUGUUACUAUAAUUGAGAUACCAAUCUUAGAAAGGAAGAGUUUGGAAUCAGUCAAGUGGUCUGCUGAGCUUAUAUUAGCCUUCUGUGGCUAUGCAGUGGCAAGCUUUAUGUUCUACACCUUUGUUCCGUUUCUUCUCGAGAUGAG